GAUGGUAUAGCUCAGUGAUACAGUGCAUGCUUAGCGUGCACAAAGUUCUGGGUUCAAUCCCCAGUACCUCUG
rfam:Camelus ferus unplaced genomic scaffold scaffold435, whole genome shotgun sequence.